rnacentral:rRNA from 1 species
CCUACGGGUGGCAGCAGUGAGGAAUAUUGGUCAAUGGGCGAGAGCCUGAACCAGCCAAGUCGCGUGAAGGAUGACGGCCCUACGGGUUGUAAACUUCUUUUGUCAGGGAGCAAUUUGGUCCACGCGUGGGCUUAGCUAUAGUACCUGCAGAAAAAGCAUCGGCUAACUCCUUGCCAGCAGCCGCGGUAAUACGGAGGAUGCGAGCGUUAUCCGGAUUUAUUGGGUUUAAGGGGUGCGUAGGCGGAAUAUCAAGUCAGCGGUAAAAAUUCGGGGCUCAACCCCGUCGUGCCGUUGAAACUGGUGUUCUUGAGUGGGCGAGAAGUAUGCGGAAUGCGUGGUGUAGCGGUGAAAUGCAGAGAUAUCACGAAGAACUCCGAUCGCGAAGGCAGCAUACCGGAGCACAACUGACGCUGAAGCACGAAAGCGUGGGUAUCGAACAGGAUUAGAUACCCUGGUAGUC